rnacentral:rRNA from 1 species
AGUGAACGCUGGCGGUAGGCCUAACACAUGCAAGUCGAACGGCAGCACAGUAAGCGCUUGCUCUUACGGGUGGCGAGUGGCGGACGGGUGAGGAAUACAUCGGAAUCUACUUUUUCGUGGGGGAUAACGUAGGGAAACUUACGCUAAUACCGCAUACGACCUACGGGUGAAAGCAGGGGAUCUUCGGACCUUGCGCGAUUGAAUGAGCCGAUGUCGGAUUAGCUAGUUGGCGGGGUAAAGGCCCACCAAGGCGACGAUCCGUAGCUGAUCUGAGAGGAUGAUCAGCCACACUGGAACUGAGACACGGUCCAGACUCCUACGGGAGGCAGCAGUGGGGAAUAUUGGACAAUGGGCGCAAGCCUGAUCCAGCCAUACCGCGUGGGUGAAGAAGGCCUUCGGGUUGUAAAGCCCUUUUGUUGGGAAAGAAAAGCAGCAUGUUAAUCCCCCGCUGUUCUGACGGUACCCAAAGAAUAAGCACCGGCUAACUUCGUG